GAUGAACGCUGGCGGCGUGCCUAAUACAUGCAAGUCGAGCGAACGGACGAGAAGCUUGCUUCUCUGAUGUUAGCGGCGGACGGGUGAGUAACACGUGGAUAACCUACCUAUAAGACUGGGAUAACUUCGGGAAACCGUAGCUAAUACCGGAUAAUAUUUUGAACCGCAUGGUUCAAAAGUGAAAGACGGUCUUGCUGUCACUUAUAGAUGGAUCCGCGCUGCAUUAGCUAGUUGGUAAGGUAACGGCUUACCAAGGCAACGAUGCAUAGCCGACCUGAGAGGGGGAAGAGCCAACAGGGAACGGAGACACGGUCCAAGUCCCAACGGGAGGGAGAAGGAGGGAACUUUCCCCAUUGGGGGAAACCUUGAGGGGGAAACGCGGCGGGGGUGAAGAAGGUCUUCGAGGCGUAAAACGCUUUUUUUAGGAAAGAAAAUAGUUGUAAGAAACUGGCCACAUCUGAAGGGUACCUAUUCAAAAAGCACCGGCUAACUACGG
rnacentral:rRNA from 1 species